CCUACGGGAGGCAGCAGUGAGGAAUAUUGGUCAAUGGGCGCAAGCCUGAACCAGCGAAGUCGCGUGAGGGAUGACGGUCCUAGGGAUGGUAAACCUCUUUUGUCGGGGAGCAAGGCCGGCUACGUGUAGCCGGACUGAGAGGACCUGAAGCAAAAGCAUCGGCUAACUCCGUGCCAGCAGCCGCGGUAAUACGGAGGAUGCGAGCGUUAUCCGGAUUUAUUGGGUUUAAAGGGAGCGUAGCUGGGUUGUUAAGUCAGUUGUGAAAGUUUGCGGCUCAACCGUAAAAUUGCAAUGGAUACUGGCAGUCUUGAGUACAGUUGAGGUAGGCGGAAUUCGUGGUGUAGCGGUGAAAUGCUUAGAUAUCACGAAGAACUCCGAUUGCGAAGGCAGCUUACUAAACUGCCACUGACAUUGAUGCUCGAAAGUGUGGGUAUCAAACAGGAUUAGAUACCCGAGUAGUC
rnacentral:rRNA from 1 species